GCGGCCGCACGGGGGUGCGGCGGCGUCUUGGGGCUUGAGCUUCGGGGCGAGCGCAGUGCAAGGGUGGCGCGCACACAUGGAGGACGCGCAUUGCGCUUGGCUUGAGCUACCCGGGCUGGGCCCGGGCUGGGCUUUCUUCGCGAUCCUCGACGGCCACGGUGGGACGAGAGCCGCCCUCUUCGGUGCGCGCCACCUGCCGGGCUACGUGCUCGAGGCGCUGGGUCCAGCGCCCGGCGAGCCCGAGGGCGUGUGCGAAGCACUGCGCCGCGCCUUUCUGAGCGCAGACGCACGCUUGCGCGCGCUCUGGCCCCGCGGCGAGCCGGGAGGCUCCACCGCCUUGGCGUUGCUGGUUUCCCCACACUUUCUGUACCUGGCGCACUGCGGUGACUCCCGCGCGGUGCUGAGUCGCGCCGGCGCCGUGGCCUUCAUCACCGAAGACCAUCGGCCCCUCCAUCCCCGGGAACGCGAGCGCAUCCAUGACGCGGGCGGCACCAUCAGCCGCCGGCGCCUCGAGGGCUCUCUGGCAGUGUCCCGAGCACUGGGAGACUUUGCCUACAAAGAGGCUCCGGGAAGGCCCCCUGAACUGCAGCUCGUUUCCGCGGAGCCUGAAGUGACCUCCCUGGCACGCCGAGCAGAGGACGAAUUCAUGCUCCUGGCCUCUGAUGGUGUGUGGGACGCCAUGUCUGGCUCUGCCCUGGCGGGACUGGUGGCGUCUCGCCUCUGCUUGGGCUUGGCCCCACAGCUUCUCUGCGCGCAGCUGUUGGACACGUGUCUUUGCAAGGGAAGCCUGGACAACAUGACCUGCAUCCUGGUCUGCUUCCCGGGGGCCCCCAGGCCUUGUGAGGAGGCCAUCAGGAAGGAGCUAGUGCUGGACGCAGCGCUGGGACGCAGGGUUGCAGAGCUGUGUGCCUUUGGCCAGGAGCCCCCCAGCUUGAACACAGUUUUCAGGACUUUGGCCUCUGAGGACAUCCCGGAUUUACCUCCUGGGGGAGGGCUCCACUGCAAGCAUGAUGGUUGGUGCGGCGGGGGGAGUGGGCGGUGGUGAUGCAGAAGCAGAGGAGAAGGGAUUGUGCGUCUCCUCCAAGAAGUGUGCCCCCUACAUUGCUUUGUGAAGCCCCACCAUCCCAAGCACCACCCCUUCCAUCCAGAAAUAAGGCAGAAAAACUCAAGGGAUGUUGAUGACCGAUACCAAGGGCUAACUGCACUGCAGAGACCACCAGGACAUCUCUGCAGGUGGCCCAGGUCUUAGAGGAGAGAGGUUGUGAAUUAGGCCCAGAUAGCCUAUUUAGAGAUGUCCAAGGAGGUGGUGAGUGGAGCCACAUAAACUAAGAUGGGGCAGAAUGGGGCUGAGAAGCCCACUGGCACCCAUUCAAGCUCUGCCUUGGACUUGGAGGCCUGACAGCUGUCAUCCUUUAGGGACCCUCUGCCCAGCUGGGGC